rnacentral:antisense_RNA from 1 species
GUUGCCUCGGAUGGCAGUAAAGUCGUCCAGGGCUUCGGCCGCGCUCCCCUCGUCCAGGUUCAGCUCCUGGCACAGGGCCUGUAGCGCCUCCCCGGCUGCGGCGACCACCGCCGCCCCCUCAGCGUAGGGCUUGUCCUCGAACAUCCCUUCAGGCCCCGCGGGCUGCGCGCCACGGCCCCCGACUUCUUUCUCCCUCCCAGGCGCGCUACCCACAACCACCUGCGCCAAAGCGCGCGAAAAUCUGCAGUUGCGGAACGUCUUGUCAUCCACCGUCUGCCUCCGCUUUUCUCCUCAAAAAAAGUCCGUUUUUCCUCCGGAGCUCCUAGCAGUCCCUCCCCGGAAAUGUGAUAAGAAGAUGGACCUCAGAUUCUGAAAGACCUGUCCUUGGCCCUUGGCUGGUCGCGGGGGGCCCAGCCGGCGGGACAGAAAAAGAGCGGAGGGAUCCUCAGCCCGCGCGCGGAGCCUGCUGGGAGGUGUAGUCCAUCGCUUGGGAGAUGAAGCCCGCGGCCUCCCCCGUCUUCCUGGUUAGGCUCUUGGGUUUUGGGGCAGGGCUGGGCUGCCUACUGCCAGGUGGCCUCAUGCAGCGUAGUGAGAUGCCUCCUCUAUCCACGGGCCCUGGGUUUGUCACUGUCCCUGGGCGCCAAACAUAAUCUGACUGAGCUGUACCCCUUGAGUUAGGAGAUGGAGGCUGGACGAAGAGGGGCCUCUUGGGACUCUCCCCAAAGUCCUAGUGCCCAGUGAGUGGUUCGCUAAAUGACAGAGGGGAAGGACUGGUGACGGAUAUUAGAAGACGAAUCCUCAUCUCAUGCUAGUCGCUAAAAGAGGCAGGCAGAGAAGACUGCAGUAAAUGAGGCAGGAGAAUAGGGUCUGGAUGCAGGGAACCUAUGGCUGUUUCACGUGACUUCUUAGACCUAAAUUGAAAGGAAAACCCCAACUUUCCACGCCUAAGUAACAAAAGAACCAGAGGCUGUUCCCUUGGACCUUUUCUGCAUGGCAGAUGGGAAAUUGGCUGUCUGCAACAAAUCACACUGAGCGCCUUCCAGUCUUCGUUUGCAACUUUGUAACUUCACUCCAGCCUCUGAACCGUUGCUGUCCACAACCAAUCAGACUGAUGGCGGGAGAGUCUUCCUUUGCAUAGAAGUAUAAUUUUGUAACUUCACCCUGGCCUCUGAUUGGUUGCUUUCUGCAACCACUCAGACUGAUUGUGGGCUACCACUUCAGUUACAUCAAGAGAGCAUAAAGUGGCCAAUGGGAAACUUCUAGAGGGUAUUUGGACCCCAGAAGAUUCUGUGUCUGGGCCCUUGAGCUGCUGCGUGGGUUCGCUUCCCCACUAUGGAGUGUACUUUUGUUUUCAAUAAAUCCCUGUCUUCGUUC